rfam:Myotis lucifugus cont2.6757, whole genome shotgun sequence.
GGCAGUGUUCAGGUGACACACCCUGGAAUCGGGCUCCCUCCUCUCUGAUUCUGGGUGCUUCACCCAAGAACCACA